rnacentral:tRNA from 1 species
UGUGGCGUGUCGGAUCAACGAGCGGUCUUGAUGAGAACGAGUAGGUGCUUAUUAGUGCCGCCACUA